rnacentral:rRNA from 1 species
AAAUUGAAGAGUUUGAUCAUGGCUCAGAUUGAACGCUGGCGGCAGGCCUAACACAUGCAAGUCGAGCGGUAGCACAGAGAGCUUGCUCUCGGGUGACGAGCGGCGGACGGGUGAGUAAUGUCUGGGAAACUGCCUGAUGGAGGGGGAUAACUACUGGAAACGGUAGCUAAUACCGCAUAACGUCGCAAGACCAAAGUGGGGGACCUUCGGGCCUCAUGCCAUCAGAUGUGCCCAGAUGGGAUUAGCUAGUAGGUGGGGUAACGGCUCACCUAGGCGACGAUCCCUAGCUGGUCUGAGAGGAUGACCAGCCACACUGGAACUGAGACACGGUCCAGACUCCUACGGGAGGCAGCAGUGGGGAAUAUUGCACAAUGGGCGCAAGCCUGAUGCAGCCAUGCCGCGUGUGUGAAGAAGGCCUUCGGGUUGUAAAGCACUUUCAGCGGGGAGGAAGGCGAUAAGGUUAAUAACCUUGUCGAUUGACGUUACCCGCAGAAGAAGCACCGGCUAACUCCGUGCCAGCAGCCGCGGUAAUACGGAGGGUGCAAGCGUUAAUCGGAAUUACUGGGCGUAAAGCGCACGCAGGCGGUCUGUCAAGUCGGAUGUGAAAUCCCCGGGCUCAACCUGGGAACUGCAUUCGAAACUGGCAGGCUAGAGUCUUGUAGAGGGGGGUAGAAUUCCAGGUGUAGCGGUGAAAUGCGUAGAGAUCUGGAGGAAUACCGGUGGCGAAGGCGGCCCCCUGGACAAAGACUGACGCUCAGGUGCGAAAGCGUGGGGAGCAAACAGGAUUAGAUACCCUGGUAGUCCACGCCGUAAACGAUGUCGAUUUGGAGGUUGUGCCCUUGAGGCGUGGCUUCCGGAGCUAACGCGUUAAAUCGACCGCCUGGGGAGUACGGCCGCAAGGUUAAAACUCAAAUGAAUUGACGGGGGCCCGCACAAGCGGUGGAGCAUGUGGUUUAAUUCGAUGCAACGCGAAGAACCUUACCUGGUCUUGACAUCCACAGAACUUUCCAGAGAUGGAUUGGUGCCUUCGGGAACUGUGAGACAGGUGCUGCAUGGCUGUCGUCAGCUCGUGUUGUGAAAUGUUGGGUUAAGUCCCGCAACGAGCGCAACCCUUAUCCUUUGUUGCCAGCGGUUAGGCCGGGAACUCAAAGGAGACUGCCAGUGAUAAACUGGAGGAAGGUGGGGAUGACGUCAAGUCAUCAUGGCCCUUACGACCAGGGCUACACACGUGCUACAAUGGCAUAUACAAAGAGAAGCGACCUCGCGAGAGCAAGCGGACCUCAUAAAGUAUGUCGUAGUCCGGAUUGGAGUCUGCAACUCGACUCCAUGAAGUCGGAAUCGCUAGUAAUCGUGGAUCAGAAUGCUACGGUGAAUACGUUCCCGGGCCUUGUACACACCGCCCGUCACACCAUGGGAGUGGGUUGCAAAAGAAGUAGGUAGCUUAACCUUCGGGAGGGCGCUUACCACUUUGUGAUUCAUGACUGGGGUGAAGUCGUAACAAGGUAACCGUAGGGGAACCUGCGGUUGGAUCACCUCCUUACCUUAAAGAA